CCGGAGGGACUGGAAAACAAGCC
rnacentral:piRNA from 1 species